GAACGGGUGAGUAAUACAUAAGUAACCUGCCCUAGACAGGGGGAUAACUGCUGGAAACGGCAGCUAAGACCGCAUAGGUAUGGACACUGCAUGGUGACCAUAUUAAAAGUGCCAAGGCACUGGUAGAGGAUGGACUUAUGGCGCAUUAGCUGGUUGGUGAGGUAACGGCUCACCAAGGCGACGAUGCGUAGCCGACCUGAGAGGGUGACCGGCCACACUGGGACUGAGACACGGCCCAGACUCCUACGGGAGGCAGCAGUAGGGAAUUUUCGGCAAUGGGGGAAACCCUGACCGAGCAACGCCGCGUGAAGGAAGAAGUAAUUCGUUAUGUAAACUUCUGUCAUAGAGGAAGAACGGUGCGUGUAGGGAAUGACAUGCAAGUGACGGUACUCUAUAAGAAAGCCACGGCUAACUACGUGCCAGCAGCCGCGGUAAUACGUAGGUGGCGAGCGUUAUCCGGAAUUAUUGGGCGUAAAGAGGGAGCAGGCGGCACUAAGGGUCUGUGGUGAAAGAUCGAAGCUUAACUUCGGUAAGCCAUGGAAACCGUAGAGCUAGAGUGUGUGAGAGGAUCGUGGAAUUCCUAGUGUAGCGGUGAAAUGCGUAGAUAUUAGGAGGAACAUCAGUGGCGAAGGCGGCUUACUGGGCUUUAACUGACGCUGAGGCUCGAAAGCGUGNGGAGCAAACAGGAUUAGAUACCCUGGUAGUCCACGCCGUAAACGAUGAUUACUAGGUNU
rnacentral:rRNA from 1 species